rnacentral:rRNA from 1 species
UGGGGAAUAUUGGACAAUGGGGGCAACCCUGAUCCAGCCAUGCCGCGUGAGUGAAGAAGGCCUUAGGGUUGUAAAGCUCUUUCAGUCGUGACGAUGAUGACGGUAGCGACAGAAGAAGCCCCGGCUAACUCCGUGCCAGCAGCCGCGGUAAUACGGAGGGGGCAAGCGUUGUUCGGAUUUACUGGGCGUAAAGGGCGCGUAGGCGGCUAUCCAAGUCAGGGGUGAAAUCCCGGGGCUCAACCCCGGAACUGCCCUUGAAACUAGGUAGCUAGAAUACUGGAGAGGUGAGUGGAAUUCCGAGUGUAGAGGUGAAAUUCGUAGAUAUUCGGAAGAACACCAGUGGCGAAGGCGACUCACUGGACAGUUAUUGACGCUGAGGUGCGAAAGCGUGGGGAGCAAACAGGAUUAGAUACCCCGGUAGUCC